rnacentral:tRNA from 2 species
GGUGAUAUGGUCUAGUGGUAUGACGACGUGUUGUGGCCGCGUUAGCCCGUGUUCGAUUCACGGUAUCGCCA